rnacentral:lncRNA from 1 species
UCUUGACUCAACAACAACUCUCUUUUUUUCUAAAUUUUCACCAACUCCUGUUUCAAUCACUCUCCCACUCCUGGAUGUUAUUGACUUGCAAUGUUCCUUGGGAUUUAUGGGAGCGUUAGUGGUGAAUGUCCCUCCUUGUUAUUCAGCUAGCUGCUCUGCAAUUUUCCUUACUUGUAUUUCAAGAUUCUUGAUCUAUGCAUAUGUAAUUUUCUCUGAUUUGUAAUAGACAAU